rnacentral:lncRNA from 1 species
GCUGAGAAAGAACCUUCAAAUGUGUAAGAGGUAAAUCUUUUUUUGUUUUUAGUUUAGUUUAGUUUAGUUUUUUUUUUUUGUGAUGAAAAUUUUGGAACUCUCUCGAUGGCUCUGUAAACUCAGCCUUGUUUUUUGGGGUUGGAAAAUGCUGGUUCUAUAAUUCUUAUAUUUCCUUUUUUUGCCUUAAAACAAUAGGGAUUAUGUGAUCUAUAGGGUUUUUUAUGAAGCGUAUUGUGUAUCAAUAAUUUAUUGGUUUUCUUUGGAGUUGGAAAAUGUAGAUUCUGUAAUUUUUAGAUUUUUUUCUUGGCUUAAAACUGUGAAAAUUAUAAGAUUUUCUUCAAUCCUUGCACCUAAUGUGUUGUGGCAAGGUCUUUUUUGUUCAGGAAAAUAGUUUUUUUCGAUUUUGGUAUUAUUUUGAUGCCUUUGUUGCUUGUAUGCAUAACAAUCAGGAUGAAAAUUUGACUUCCAUGAUGAAUACUCUAUUUGAUUACACAUUUCACGAUUGACUACCACACUCAAUUUUAAAGGACAUUAUUAGUAGUUAUCAUAAACCAUUAAGAAAUUGGUUAUUUUAAAAAUAAAAAAAAUAUUUUUUUAUCCUUUAUUUUUAACUUCUAUAUAUAAUGAGAUUCAAAAAUUAAAAAUAUUACUUGUAAGCAAAAUGUAUCUAUUUUUUCUAUCUUACGAUCCCUUGGAUCUUUGAUUAUAAAAUUUUUAACCAAACAAAUACUAAAAUGACACCCUAUUCAAACUCGUAUCUCUCUUUAAACCUCCAUCUAUCUCUCUCUCCGCUUCUCAAUGAGUUUACCAGUAAAGGGUUUAGCUUGAGCUCGAUCGCGAUCACACUUUCUUAUGUGUGUGUGUGAGAGAUGGUGUUUUAGAGAGAGAAAGAGAUGGAGUUUUAGAAAGAGAAAGAUGGAAUUUGGGUUUUAAAGAGAUGGAAUUUUAGAAAGAGAAAGAGAUGGAGUUUGAGUUUUAGGGAGAGAGAUGAAGUUUUGAGAGAGAGAGACGAUGAUGUGAGAGAGAGCGAGAUAGAAUUUGGGUUUUAGAGAGCAAUAGUUUUAGAGAGAGAGAGAGUUUUAGAGAGAGAGAUGUAAUUUGGGUUUUAAAGAGCAAUGAGUUUCAAGAGAGAGAUAAAGUUUUAGAGAGAGAGAAUCAUGAUGAGUUUUAAGAGAGAGAGAGAAUCAUGUCAUAAGGUGUUAAGGUCAAUAAUAUAAAGUAAAAAAAGGUUUAGGAGGUUGGAAGAUAAAAAAGAUGGAGUAAUAUUUUUAAUUUUUGGGUUUCAAGAUAUAUAGAAGUUAAAAAUAAUAGGAUAUUUUCUCUAAAAAUAAAGUUAUCAUUUCAAAAAAAUUUUAUGUUUUUGUUAUGGAAAUUUUGAAAUUCUCUCAAUGGCUCUAUAAACACAGCAUUUGUUUUUUGAGCUGAAAAAUGCAGGUUCUGCAAAUAUUACAUUUCCUUUUUUUUUGUAGCUUAAAACUGUAACUGUUGGGAUUAUGUGAUUUAUAGGUUUUUUUAUGAAGUGGAUUGUCUAUCAAUUUGCUGGGAGUGGGGCUUUUGAAGAAACCGAAGCGUUGCAAGAGAGUGAACAUGGACACUGCCCCGUUUCUUCAACGCAGGAAACGAAACUUUGUCCGGGGGCUUUUGAAGAAACCGCUUUGCAAGAGAGAGAACAUUGACAUCGAAGAGAAAAAACAUAGACAUUGAACAAGAGAGAGGAGCCAACCGUUUUUUCAACGCACGAAAAUUUGCCAUAACCCAACUGUUUCUUCAACGCACGAAAAUUUGCCGGGACUCAUUUGUUUGAAUCUCACAAUGUAAACUCAACAUUUGCUUGAAGCCUCGAGGCCUCACAAAAUUUCUCGCAUAACCAUGUAACAUUGAUUUUUUCUCAGGGUUUUUUUGGUGUUCACUUGCCUUCUUGGAAUGACUGAAAAUUGUUGAAUUAGUCGGGAUUAUGUAUUUUUUUGGGGCUUUUUUUAGGGCUGAAAAAUGCAGGGUCUGUAAUUCUUAGAUUUCCUUUUGGUGGUUGUGGGGAUUAUGUGAUUUUUAGGGUUUUUUAUGAAGUGGACUGUGUUUCAGUAAUUUAUAGGGUUUCUUUGGGGCUGGAAAAUGCAGGUUCUAUAAUUUUAUUUUUUAAGCUUAAACGUGUGAAAAUUAUACAAAUUUCUUCAAUCUUUUUACAAAAUGUGCUGUGACAAGGUCUUUUUUCUUCAGGAAUUUUUUUUUUUCAAUUUUGUUAGUGUUUUGAUGGCUUUGUUAAAGUAUAGUAACUACUUUUCUGGAUUUUGUUGAUUUAUAUAUGAACUAUAAGACUCUCUACUAUUUUUUUCCUUGCUAUUUUGAUUAUGAGGAAUUAUUCUAAUAGUUAUCCUUGCUAUUAUGAGUGGAUUUCCUUUUUUUAGCUUAAAAUUAUAGGGAUUAUGUGAUUUUUAGGGUUUUUAAUAAAGUGUACUGUGUAUCAGUAAUUUGUAGGGUUUCUGUGAUGGAAUUUUUGGAACUCUCUCCAUGACUGUGAGCUCAUAUAUUUCAGUAAAAUGCAACGUGGUUUGGUUAUUAUGUGUCGUGCAAGAAAAAUAUAAGCAUCCUUGUAUGGAGGUUAGGAAGCAUCAUCCAUUGAGUGGAAUGGUUUUGAGGCAUGGUAAGUGACGUUGAGAGGAAGACGGAGCGUCCCUGGUAACAAAUACACGUUCGAGAGAGAGGCUAUGUGACCUUUUCCAUUCGCCUCCAUGAUCUCAGAUAUUCUUCCUUUUCUUUCUCUCUAGAAUCAUGAUUUAUGUUCUCACUGAGACUGUUUCCUCAUCAAAAUCAACAACAACCAUUAAAAGAAUGAGUUCCACCCCAAAAUGACUAGGCAAAUUUGUUUAUAUAGCUUUCAUUGGAAGUUCAUAUCAAGUUUUCAUUUGUUUCUAUUGUAAAAAAAAGUAGUUGUAGACAGGGUAAGUUACAAGUAUUGUCCCUCUUUCAUUUGCAUGUCUCAGUGGUUUUCAAAAGGCAUAUUUUGAUCCUAAGUUUUGUGAUUCCUUUUUUUCUUGAGAUAGUGUAGACAUAUUUAGGAACAAUCUGGAUGCUUUCUCCAUAUUCCAUACCUACAAUGUGGGCAUUUGCAUGCCUAUUAUAAUCUAGAGAGAGGGAGGAAGUUCAUUUUGUAUAUGAGAGAAACUUAUUUAUUAUUCAUUAUGGUCAUUCUAUUCAUAGUUCCUUUCUUAGUGAUUUGUAGUCCGUCGAUAUAUAGUUUUUUUUUUCUUUUAUAUUUUUUUUUCUUCAAUUUUAUGUAGAUUAUUUGCUUUUUCUCCAUUAAAUGCCUCCAUGUUCUUAUAUAUGAUUGUAUUAUAUUCAAAAUCAAGAAAAACUUUGUUGUCUUCAUUUUUAUGGAGAUUGUUUGCGUUUUCUCCAUUAAGUGCCUCCAUGUUCUUAUAUAUGAUUGUAUUAUAUUCAAAAUCAAGAAAAACUAUGUUGUAACAACUCUAACUUCUUUAUGUAAUUUGUUAUUUAAGAACAUGGAGUACACAGCCUAACCUUUGACUAAAGUUAAUAGACUUGCAGGAAAUCUUCAUAGCUUAGUGUGUGUGGUUACAAUGCACACCAAGUGUUUGGAAAAGUGCCUCAACAGGACAUAGCUCAACGUGGUGAGUUCAAAAACUUAUUUGAAUUAAGCCUUGAAAUAAUUUAUGCUACUAGGCAUAGAUGGGUAUAAAAUAUGUGAACUUCAAAUACUUAGUAGGUUACGAGAAAUGAAACAGCUUAUUAAUGACUAAUUUUUUUUACUAAUAUGCAAUUUAUGAAUCUUGAUGUAUGCAUGAAUGCAUGCAAAAUCACAAGCGGCAUAUGAAUUUAUCUUCAAAUCAAAACCUACUUUUGAUAUGUAUUUAUUUUUAGCUUAUUAAGAGGAUUAAUGACCAGAACAAUGUAUUUAUAGAGACAAGAGAAAAGGGGGCAAAUGGGGUUGGUUCCUUGUGAGUGGAGGCAAGAGAAGAGCAAAUGGAGAUGAUAGUUUGUGAAUAAUGCAAAGUUAUAAGAUUGGCCUUUUGAAGAACAUAAACUAAUAAUGGUUUGAAGGUUUUCGAUUGUUUUUUAAGGACAAAGAAGUUUUAGAGGGAGAGAGGGAUGGGCCUUCAUAUUUGGGAGACAAAGAACUUCAUAUCUAUGUUAGAGAGAGAGAGAUAGAGAAAGAGAAAAAGAGUUCAAAACAAGCUAUAAAAAGUAUCCCCUUCAUUACAGUUAUCAAUAAAUUUGUUUGUUUGCAAUAUAGCUUCCCCUAAUUCUGUUGUAGUCACAAAGGAAAUUAUUUACCAGUAGUGUGACUUCUUUAGAUGAAGUGAACAUAGGGCAUACAAAUUUAAAUUAUACUCAACUUAGUGGGAUAUUUCACCAUUGUUUUGCCUCCUACGAAAAUUUGUAACUAGACAAUAACAUGUUCAAAGAGUAGCUCCUUGAAAGCUUUGAGGAGAGAGUUGUAGCGGAAGACAUCCAAAUAUUAUAUCUACAACACAAUUCUCUCAGCAUUCAAUAUAAUUGCAUAGUAUGAGCAGCUCAAAAGCCUUGCUUUCUCAAGAUUGUGAGGCAAAGGCCAGGCCAACCCAAUGAGCUCACAUACUAAAUGGAUAUCACCUACUCUUUCUCUCAGUCUAAAGUUCUUCAGACUCUUGGUUUUUAUGGUUUUGUUAUUUGGGAUAUUUACAAAAAAAAUAUACCUAAUUGAAUUGUUUAACAUUUCAUCUGUUUUUAUUGAUUUCAUUUCAAAAAGCUAAUUGAAAUACACAUGAUUAUGAGUUACAACAGUUGAUAUUGGGUAGAUUGAUAAAUAGUUUAUAAGUUAGCUGUAUUUUGAUAAAUUUUCUUUGAUUUAUUAUCAAUGAUGUUUAUUUUGAAUGGAGGUAGGUUACUGUAGAGCAAUGUUGUUGCAGAGAUGAACAUGAAGAAAUACAAGUCAAGAGAGUGACACUUAAUCAUAAAGAACAUGGACCAUAACAAUGCAUAUAUACUCUCUCUUUUCGUUAUUUAGGGAUAAUGCACUUUUUUCUUUUUGCAUUUUCCUUUACUUUUUUUACGGAAUAA